GGGAAGAGUCCGCAGGGGCCCUGGAGCCGGACUGGCCAGUCUCUAGGGGCUCUCCAUGUGCUGUCCUGAAGGGAAAGUCCUAUUUCUAAAAGAGAGCCACGCUUAAGGCGUGCCUUUAGUAGAGACUUUGCUUUUUCUUGCUAGUUGAUGAACCAGGAACUGAUGUCUGUUAACUUUACGGAGUACUUGGAUAUCAUAUUUGUUAUUUCUCUGGAGUUUCUAAAAUCGAGGUGGAGUGCCGGGCACGGUGGCCCACGGCUGUAAUCCCAGCACUUUGGGAAGCCGAGGCGGGUGGAUCAUUUGAGGUCAGGAGUUCGAGACCGCCCUGGCCAACAUGGAAAGAAAAGGAACAGCCAAAGUGGACUUUUUGAAGAAGAUUGAGAAAGAAAUCCAACAGAAAUGGGAUACUGAGAGAGUGUUUGAGGUCAAUGCAUCUAGUUUAGAGAAACAGACCAGCAAGGGCAAGUAUUUUGUAACCUUCCCAUAUCCAUAUAUGAAUGGACGCCUUCAUUUGGGACACACGUUUUCUUUAUCCAAAUG
rnacentral:sRNA from 1 species